rnacentral:tRNA from 1 species
CUCGUGAAAUGGCCUGAAACCCAAUGAAAUCAAUAUUUCGUCUGACUUUUAAUCAGAGGGUCCUCGGUUCGAGCCCGAGGGGGCGUACCA